AUUGAACGCUGGCGGCAGGCCUAACACAUGCAAGUCGAACGAGUGGCGGACGGGUGAGUAAUGUCUGGGAAACUGCCCGCUGGAGGGGGAUAACUCCUGGAAACGGUAGCUAAUACCGCAUACCAUCAGAUGUGCCCAGAUGGGAUUAGCUAGUUGGUGGGGUAACGGCUCACCUAGGCGACGAUCCCUAGCUGGUCUGAGAGGAUGACCAGCCACACGGGAACGGAGACACGGUCCAGACUCCUACGGGAGGCAGCAGUGGGGAAUAUGGCACAAGGGGCGCAAGCCUGAUGCAGCCAUGCCGCGUGUAUGAAGAAGGCCUUCGGGUUGUAAAGUACUUUCAGCGAGGAGGCGUUACUCGCAGAAGAAGCACCGGCUAACUCCGUGCCAGCAGCCGCGGUAAUUC
rnacentral:rRNA from 1 species